rnacentral:tRNA from 1 species
GCACUGUUGGCCGAGCGGAUUAGGCACACGACUCAUAAUCGUUUUCAUGUAGGUUCAACUCCUACACAGUGCA